UAAUACAGGUGCUUAGAAAUGGCUUUUGUUG
rnacentral:piRNA from 1 species